UCUUCCCUCUCCUAAUCAAACGUCUGUCUGUAAAAAGUUACCCCUGGUGGGUGUUUACUCCUGCCUUUUAGGUCUCCCUUUUGGAUGCCAAGAAAAUCCUGAACCUGGGGAUCUUCCUCAAGCAGUUUAAGAGGUGAGGGGGGAGGGCCCCCAGGCUUUGGUGUGGGACAGCCUGCAACGCCCACGCCAGCUGAGGAAGCUCUCCCCUCCCUAGGCCGGUGCAGGAAAUUGUGGCUGACAUCCGUAACGGGGCGGGAGUCCUUUACGGGGCGGAGAAGCUGCUGGAGCUCUUCAAGAUGCUUCCCGACAUGAAGGAGGUGGAGAAGCUGGAGGCCUUCCGGGGUGACCGGAGCCAUCUCUCAGAGGCCGAGGUCUUUGCGCUGCUGCUCAUCCAAGUGCCCAGGUGAGGGGCUGGGUGUGGGGGGUGUGGCUUGGGGGUGCCACUAGGCAGAGGAGAGCCCAUCCCACCUGCCCCUCUUCUUGCCAUCCAGUUAUUCCCGGCGCCUGGAGCUCCUUGUGCUGAAGCUGCAGCUGUUCCCCCAGCUCGGUGCCCUGCAGUCGGCCAUCCGGGUCCUGACAGAGGCGGCAUUAGAGUUGCUGGGCUGCGAAGAGCUGCAUGACCUCAUUCGGCUGGUACUGAAGAUGGGGAACUACAUGAAUGAGGGAGGCUACGCUGGGUCUGCGUUCGGCUUCCACAUGUCAUCCUUGCUGAGGUUGGUGGACACAAAGGGCAACCAGCCUGGCACGGACCUCCUGCAUUUUGUGGCCUUGCAGGCUGAGAGGAAGGACCCCAGCCUUCUGCACUUUCCCUGCAAACUCCAGCAUGUGGCAUCUGCCUCACGGUAAGGAAGGCAGCAGAGGGAGACUCCCAGGGUGGUGGGAAGAGCAGGCCGGGGUGGUAGGG